rnacentral:rRNA from 1 species
CACGAAGGGGGCUAGCGUUGCUCGGAAUCACUGGGCGUAAAGCGCACGUAGGCGGACUCUUAAGUCAGGGGUGAAAUCCUGGAGCUCAACUCCAGAACUGCCUUUGAUACUGGGAGUCUUGAGUUCGGGAGAGGUGAGUGGAACUGCGAGUGUAGAGGUGAAAUUCGUAGAUAUUCGCAAGAACACCAGUGGCGAAGGCGGCUCACUGGCCCGAUACUGACGCUGAGGUGCGAAAGCGUGGGGAGCAAACAGG